rnacentral:misc_RNA from 1 species
GAUGAAGAACGUAGCGAAUUGCGAUAAGUAAUGUGAAUUGCAGAUUUUCAGUGAAUCAUCGAAUCUUUGAACGCACCUUGCGCCCUUUGGCCAUUCCGAAGGGCAUGCCUGUUUGAGUAUCAUGAACACCUCAACUCUUUAUGGUUUUCCAUGAUGAGCUUGGACUCUGGGGGUUUUGCUGGCUCACAGUCGGCUCCUCUAAAAUGAAUCAGCUUACCAGUGUUUGGUGGGUAUCAUGGGUGUGAUAACUAUCUACGCUUGUGGUUUUUCCACCAGGUAACCUUCAGCAGUGGAGGUUCGCUGGAGCUCAUAGAUGUCUCUCCUCAGUGAGGACAGCCCUUUGAAUGUUUGAUCUCAAAUCAGGUAGGACUACCCGCUGAACUUAAGCAUAUCAAUAAGCGGAGGA